rnacentral:rRNA from 1 species
GAUGAACGCUGGCGGCGUGCCUAAUACAUGCAAGUCGAGCGAACAGACGAGGAGCUUGCUCCUCUGACGUUAGCGGCGGACGGGUGAGUAACACGUGGAUAACCUACCUAUAAGACUGGGAUAACUUCGGGAAACCGGAUCUAAUACCGGAUAAUAUAUUGAACCGCAUGGUUCAAUAGUGAAAGACGGUUUUGCUGUCACUUAUAGAUGGAUCCGCGCCGCAUUAGCUAGUUGGUAAGGUAACGGCUUACCAAGGCGACGAUGCGUAGCCGACCUGAGAGGGUGAUCGGCCACACUGGAACUGAGACACGGUCCAGACUCCUACGGGAGGCAGCAGUAGGGAAUCUUCCGCAAUGGGCGAAAGCCUGACGGAGCAACGCCGCGUGAGUGAUGAAGGUCUUCGGAUCGUAAAACUCUGUUAUUAGGGAAGAACAAAUGUGUAAGUAACUAUGCACGUCUUGACGGUACCUAAUCAGAAAGCCACGGCUAACUACGUG